rnacentral:rRNA from 1 species
AAACUUAAAUGAAUUGACGGGGACCCGCACAAGCGGUGGAUGAUGUGGAUUAAUUCGAUGCAACGCGAAAACCUUACCUACCCUUGACAUGUCAGGAAUUCUGCUGAGAGGUGGAAGUGCCCGAAAGGGAACCUGAACACAGGUGCUGCAUGGCUGUCGUCAGCUCGUGUCGUGAGAUGUUGGGUUAAGUCCCGCAACGAGCGCAACCCUUGUCAUUAAUUGCCAUCAUUCAGUUGGGCACUUUAAUGAGACUGCCGGUGACAAACCGGAGGAAGGUGGGGAUGACGUCAAGUCCUCAUGGCCCUUAUGGGUAGGGCUUCACACGUCAUACAAUGGUCGGUACAGAGGGUUGCCAACCCGCGAGGGGGAGCCAAUCCCACAAAGCCGAUCGUAGUCCGGAUCGCAGUCUGCAACUCGACUGCGUGAAGUCGGAAUCGCUAGUAAUCGUGGAUCAGCAUGUCACGGUGAAUACGUUCCCGGGUCUUGUACACACCGCCCGUCACACCAUGGGAGUGGGUUCCACCAGAAGUAGGUAGUCUAACCGCAAGGGGGGCGCUUACCACGGUGGGAUUCAUGACUGGGGUGAAGUCGUAACAAGGUAGCCGUAUCGGAAGGUGCGGCUGGAUCACCUCCUUUCUG